GGUCCUGCCUGCCCUGUGACCCCUGGUUCAACGGCCGCGGUAUUUUGACCGUGCAAAGGUAGCGCAAUCACUUGUCUCUUAAAUGAGGACCUGUAUGAAUGGCACAACGAGGGCUUAACUGUCUCCUUUCCCCGGUCAGUGAAAUUGAUCUUCCCGUGCAGAAGCGGGAAUCCUAACAUAAGACGAGAAGACCCUAUGGAGCUUUAGACUCCAGAACAGAUCAUGUAAGCUACCCUCAUAAAAUAGGUAAUAACUAUUGAAUCUCUGUUCCCCUGUCUUUGGUUGGGGCGACCACGGGGAAGAAAAAAACCCCCAUGUGGACCAGGAGCACAUACUCCUACAACCAUGAGCCACAGCUCUAAUGCACAAAACCUUUGACCAUUAGAUCCGGCAAAGCCGAUCAACGGACCAAGUUACCCUAGGGAUAACAGCGCAAUCCCCUUUAAGAGUUCAUAUCGACAAGGGGGUUUACGACCUCGAUGUUGGAUCAAGACAUCCUAAUGGUGCAGCCGCUAUUAAGGGUUCGUUUGUUCAACGAUUAAAGUCUUACGUGAUCUGAGUUCAGACCGG
rnacentral:rRNA from 1 species